GAUGAUGUGUCACUCAUAUGGA
rnacentral:siRNA from 1 species